GGGUGGACAUCGGCCCCUUGCCUACGCAGGGCCGCCGCGAGGAUUUUCGGAGGGUCCGCCGCCGGGUCUGGGGAACCCAGCCUUCCAUGCCAAUCUACCGCUAGCUGGAGCUGCCCCAGCCCCGCUGGUCAGGGACCCUGGGUGAGGGCCAGCUUUCCGGUUAGCAUCACCUGGGGGGAGCAGGAGCGAGAGUAGGCCUCAAAAAUGACGUAAAAAGGCGCAGGCGACUCCUGUGUGCACUGUUGGGAGAGCUGUGAUUUAUCUAUCUAUCAGUGGGCUUUCCCUGCUCUCUGGCUGGUUCUGAGGGCUGGACCUCGCUCCCCGCCACUGCCACCCCCACCCCCCAGGAUUCAGUGGUCUCCUGCUGCUAUCAGAAGUGGCAUCUCAGGCCUGCCACUUGCUUUUGGAGUUGGGUGCAGAAGUGUCCUGACUCUCAGCCCCUUGGAAGGCCCAGGUGAUUCCUGUGCCCCACAAGACUGAGAGGCGCUGCUUCAAGAGAUUACAGCUGAAUAGAAAAAGAAAAGUCGGAAAAUGAUAGCAGUGAAAUUUUUCUUUAGAAGAUGCUGUUCAAAAAUCUGCUCAGGUGAAUCUCGACGCCAAAGUGGCACCUUCACUACUGACUUCUCUCCCAGUGACUCUUUUGUCAGCUGUCGUGUCGCUGGAUUUUCACUUUAGGACCUGAACGCAGAACUUACUUACUUCCUACUGUAGAUGGCACUUUUCUCUGAGGACUCAUGCCUCACUCAUUUCUGGAACAAUUUAUGCCGAGGAUCAAGACCAUCUCUCCAGGGCUGUUUCUUUGCCUGAAGAUAAGAGGACACAAGUGGGUGACCUUCACAUUUUUUUCUCUAUGGAAUUGCCUGGUGUAGACAGAAAAACCCAACUGCAAAAACCUAACAAAGCACACCCUGAUGCCAUUCAUUUUAAUCCAGUGUGAAUACAUUCCCAGCUCUUAGCUAGAGGUGCAGAGCCCUAUUUGAAGAACCCACACGGUCUUCCCAAAGGUCAUCCUUUCCUCCGGGUCCCAGCUGUACUGGAGGAAAAUGGGAAUUCCAGCACACCCCAAGAAGGUUCAGCAUUUGGCUUUUGCUUAUCUCUGACUUAGCCAGUCUUGGAGAAUUGAGCAAUGAUGCCAGCUGGCGCACAGUUGAGCCUGCAUCAGCAUCGAUGCCAGUGGCACCACAGUGGGUCUCCGUCUUGCUAACGUGCCUCAUACAGGCGUUCAACGUGUGUGCCGACAAAGGAGAGCUGACAGUCAUCCUCCCAGACAGUCAGUGUGCUACCACAGUGACCAAAAGCAAAUCAAGAGAUUCCCAACUGCCAGUGAUAAGUAAAGAUGGCCAUGGAUUCCUGCUGGUGGAACCAAGAGAUCCUAACUGCCAGUGAUAAUAAGCGCUCAGUCAGUGCAUUACCACAGUGACCAAAAACAAACCAAGAGAUAUCAGUAAGGACGGCCAUGGCUUCCUGCCGGUGGUUUCGGAUGAAUGCUUUGGGCCAGAACACUUUGGGUUCUAAACACAAUCAAACACUAAACUCACUCUCUUGGAGAUGCUUAGGAAAGACAUGCAGCAGCUGCCAGCCCUGAUGUGAAGGAUAAGAGCUAUAACUGGAUACUUGGUUAAAACUUUAACUUCAUGUUCACAAAACUCCUACCUCCUAUUUAUAUGUCUGAAUGGAUUUUUCAUACCUCUGACAUUCAUGUGACCUUUUCCAAGACGAAUGGCCAGUACCCGUCUUGUCUUUGAACACACCUCUUCCUGUAAAUCUAACCACUAACAUAACUUCCAUAACAAA
rnacentral:lncRNA from 1 species